rnacentral:rRNA from 1 species
CCUACGGGAGGCAGCAGUGAGGAAUAUUGGUCAAUGGGCGCGAGCCUGAACCAGCCAAGUCGCGUGAGGGAAGACGGUCCUAUGGAUUGUAAACCUCUUUUGUCGGGGAGCAAAAGACGCCACGCGUGGCGUUCCGAGAGUACCCGAAGAAAAAGCAUCGGCUAACUCCGUGCCAGCAGCCGCGGUAAUACGGAGGAUGCGAGCGUUAUCCGGAUUGAUUGGGUUUAAAGGGUGCGCAGGCGGAAGAUCAAGUCAGCGGUAAAAUUGAGAGGCUCAACCUCAUAGAGCCGUUGAAACUGGUUUUCUUGAGUGAGUGAGAGGUAUGCGGAAUGCGUGGUGUAGCGGUGAAAUGCAUAGAUAUCACGCAGAACUCCGAUUGCGAAGGCAGCAUACCGGCGCUCAACUGACGCUCAUGCACGAAAGUGUGGGUAUCGAACAGGAUUAGAUACCCGUGUAGUC